UCGAAGGGUGCAGGAAUAU
rnacentral:piRNA from 1 species